GGUUGACCUCGGAUCAGGUAGGGAUACCCGCUGAACUUAAGCUACA
rnacentral:rRNA from 1 species